rnacentral:lncRNA from 10 species
GCUUCACUGAGGAUCAGACCUAAGAACAUUCUGGAAUCCCAUGCUCUAGCUUGGAGCUCCCAGAGGGCCAGAUGGCAGCAGACAGGUGAAAGUACCACACAGACGACUCGAAGGAUGUUAUAUCUACCCGUUUGACUGAAGCAGAGGAUCUGUCCACCAACCCAGCAGGAUACAGAGGCCAGGUGAAGCAUGUGAAGCAUUUACUCCAAAUGGGUGACAAUUUGAACAGUAAAUGUAAUCUGCAAAGUGGCAAGCGGGUCAGCAUCUUCCAAACAUGGGAUGCUUUAAAAAAAUUUUUUUAAAUUUUAUUUUAUUAUUAUUAUACUUUAAGUUUUAGGGUACAUGUGCACAAUGUGCAGGUUAGUUACAUAUGUAUACAUGUGCCAUGCUGGUGUGCUGCACCCAUUAACUCGUCAUUUAGCCUUAGAUAUGUCUCCUAAUGCUAUCCCUCCCCGCUCCCCCCACCCCACAACAGUCCCCAGAGUGUGAUGUUCCCCUUCCUGUGUCCAUGUGUUCUCAUUGUUCAAUUCCCACCUAUGAGUGAGAAUAUGCAGUGUUUGGUUUCUUGUCCUUGCGAUAGUUUACUGAGAGUGAUGAUUUCCAAUUUCAUCCAUAUCCCUACAAAGGACAUGAACUCAUCAUUUUUUAUGGCUGCAUAGUAUUCCAUGGUGUAUAUGUGCCACAUUUUCUUAAUCCAGUCUAUCAUUGAUGGACAUUUGGGUUGGUUCCAAGUCUUUGCUAUUGUGAAUAGUGCCGCAAUAAACAUACGUGUGCAUGUGUCU